rnacentral:rRNA from 1 species
AUGCUUUACAGCUUAGAGCCGGGGCUCCAAAAGCGUUUUGAGAGACAUGGAGCAUAUGAGAUGUUCGAAGAGCUGAAAAUGGUUUUCCAAGCUCAUGCCCGGGUCGAGAGAUAUGAAGUCUCUGACAAAUUCUUCAGCUGUAAGAUGGAGGAAAAUAGUUCUGUCAGUGAGCACAUACUCACUAUGUCUGGGUUACAUAACCGCUUGACUCAGCUGGGAGUUAAUCUCCCGGAUGAUGCGGUCAUUGACAGAAUCCCCCAGUCGCUUCCACCGAGCUACAAGAGCUUUGUGAUGAACUUCAAUAUGCAGGGGAUGGAAAAGACCAUUCCUGAAGUAUUUGCUAUGCUAAAAUCAGCAGAGGUAGAAGUCAGAAAGGAACAUCAAGUGUUGAUGGUCAAUAAAACCACUAAGUUCAAGAAGGGCAAGGGUAAAAAGAACUUCAAGAAGGACGGCAAGGUAGUUGCCGCGCCCAGCAAGCAAGCUGCCGGGAAGAAGCCAAAGAAUGGACCCAAGCCCGAGACUGAGUGUUUUUAUUGCAAGGAAAGUGGUCACUGGAAGCGGAACUGCCCCAAAUACUUAGCGGACAAGAAGGCCGGCAAAACCAAAGGAGCUGCGGAAUAA